CGUGAUUUAAUUAACUGUGAACGCACUUUGUACCAAAUCGAAUUAUCCAGUGUUUGUAUACAAAGUCUAAACAAAAUGCUUCCAUAUUUCUGUUUUAAUAUUUAGACUCUUAAUAUCGCGGAGAGUUCGACUAAAGCCUAGUAGUCAGUUCCUAUAAAUGUUUGCUAGCAAAAAGGGCCAUAAGUCCAGUACUCAGAUCAGCUAAAUUUGUUGUCUACAAAAAGUGAUAUUCAAGCUUUGCUCCGGUUGUCGUAAAUUUUUGAGUUUACGAUUUUGGAACAAUUUGUACGAACUGAAAUUGUGUGCGCUCCGGUUUUCGUAACUUUUUGCUAUCUCUCAAAUUAUUUUCCGAUAUUUAUCUUUUAAACAAAUUUUCUUUGGUAUCGAAAUGGAAAUAUUUUAGUUAAAUAUGACAUAAUUUUGGCAAUCGCAUUAUAUUAUAACAAAAAAAUAACAAACUAAAAAUGGGUGAAUUGAGAAGAGCCGACAUAUUUAUCCCAAGCGAUAUUGAUAUCGAUAUUUUAUCGGUUAAAUGGGAAUUCGCAUUUUGUUGUUUAUGUUUAUUUUGGUGAGAAACUUCGGCAGCAAUGGGACAUUUUUUAUUUAUUUACGAGAUGUGCUGCUUCUGAUGAAACCGGACACAAUUGCCACAUGUAUACUGUCUUGUGUGUGUCCUGCGUGUCUGACCCCAUCUAGGUCAAGUGGGCCUCAAGUCGAGUCCAACAUUGUCUAAGGCGGUCGAACUCCAACCGCAGCUCCUAUGAACAGACGAUAAACAGGAUGCAGUAUCUUUUCAGGAAUUUAAAAGGCUAUUAACGAUCCUGCGGGACAUUGAAAUCGAGGUUCAGUGCGACCAAGCUGGGAAUGGUGAUGUAGAUGGAGUCAACAAAACGCUGGACGAGUGUACUAGGUGGUAUUACAAUGCCUUCUACAUGGACGCAAGUGUCCACGAGCGAUACCAGUUUAAGCAGAAGCCAUGUUCUCAAUUAAUCAAGGAUAAGUUUCUCACUAUGCAUGAUGCAGAAGGGAUAACGGGAUAGCGUCGGCGGAUAUCCGCCCACGCUGUACCACUUGAAUGAAACAUUUCCUACCUUCAGCAAAUGCAUAAAUUUCGAUCAGCUAAUGUUUGAGCUGGUCCACGAAUACAGCAAGAGAGCAGCGAAGAGCCGAUAUCCUGCAAGACCAUAAGAGCUGUAUACGCCUGCUCCGUCGUUACUACCACUCCUUCUACAUUUCCGCCGAAUGGUCAACCAAGGCCAAAAAAUAAAAUGUUCAUAAUCAUCGUAUUU